AGAGAGGCUAGAGGCAAUAAAAACUGUUAAUCCCUAUCUCCGCAGUUAAAAAUCCCCAAUAUAUAGGAGGUCCCACCUGCCCGGUGAUAACA
rnacentral:tRNA from 1 species